UGGGGAAUAUUGCACAAUGGACGGAAGUUUGAUGCAGCGACGCCGCGUGGAGGGUGUAGGCCUUCGGGUUGUGAACUCCUUUUUCUCGCGAAAAAGGCACAGUUUUGGCUGUGUUGAUGGUAGUGGGGGAAGAAGCGCCGGCUAACUACGUGCCAGCAGCCGCGGUAAUACGUAGGGCGCGAGCGUUGUCCGGAUUUAUUGGGCGUAAAGAGCUCGUAGGUGGUUCGUCGCGUCUGUCGUGAAAGCCAGCAGCUUAACUGUUGGUCUGCGGUGGGUACGGGCGGGCUUGAGUGCGGUAGGGGUGACUGGAAUUCCUGGUGUAGCGGUGGAAUGUGCAGAUAUCAGGAGGAACACCGAUGGCGAAGGCAGGUCACUGGGCUGUUACUGACACUGAGGAGCUAAAGCGUGGGGAGCGAACAGG
rnacentral:rRNA from 1 species